rnacentral:sRNA from 1 species
GCCGGGUGCAGUGGCCCACGCCUGUAAUCCCAGCAGCUCGGGAGGCUGAGACAGGAGGAUCGCGAGUUCAAAGCCAGCCUCAGCAAAAAGAGAGGUGCUAAACAACUCAAGGUAGACCCUGUCUCUA